CUACACACGUGCUACAAUGGGCGCGACAACGGGCAGCGAAACUGCAAAGUUGAGCCAAUCCCUUAAACGCGUCCUCAGUUCGGAUUGGAGUCUGCAACUCGACUCCAUGAAGCCGGAAUUGCUAGUAAUCGCGCAUCAGCACGGCGCGGUGAAUACGUUCCCGGGCCUUGUACACAGCGCCCGUCAAGCCAUGGAAGCCGGGGGUACCCGAAGUCGGUGACCUAACCGCAAGGAAGGAGCCGCCUAAGGUAAAACUGGUGACUGGGGCUAAGUCGUAACAAGGUAGCCGUACCGGAAGGUGCGGCUGGAUCACCUCCUUU
rnacentral:rRNA from 1 species